rnacentral:rRNA from 1 species
CCCUUAGAUGUUCGGGGCCGCACGCGCGCUACACUGAAGGGAUCAGCGUGUCUCACCUCGCCUGAGAAGGCCGGGUAACCCGUUGAACCUCCUUCGUGCUAGGGAUUGGGGCUUGUAAUUCUUGCCCAUGAACGAGGAAUUCCCAGUAAGCGCGAGUCAUCAGCUCGCGUUGAUUACGUCCCUGCCCUUUGUACACACCGCCCGUCGCUCCUACCGAUUGAGUGGUCCGGUGAGGCUUUGGGAUCUGAGCGGAAAGAGCGUUUCGCUGUUUCUGCUCGGAAAACUCAGUCGAACCUUAUCAUUUAGAGGAAGGAGAAGUCGUAACA